rnacentral:rRNA from 1 species
CCUACGGGAGGCAGCAGUAGGGAAUCUUCCACAAUGGGCGAAAGCCUGAUGGAGCAACGCCGCGUGGGUGAAGAAGGUCUUCUGAUCGUAAAACCCUGUUGUUAGAGAAGAAAGUUCGUGAGAGUAACUGUUCACGUUUCGACGGUAUCUAACCAGACAGCCACGGCUAACUACGUGCCAGCAGCCGCGGUAAUAAGUAGGUGGCAAGCGUUAUCCGGAGUGAUUGGGCGUAAAGGGAACGCAGGCGGUCUGUUAAGUCUGAGGUGAAAGCCUACGGCUUAACCGGAGUAGUGCAUUGGAAACUGGGAGACUGGAGUGCAGAAGAGGAGAGUGGAACUCGAGGUGUAGCGGUGAAAUGCGUAGAUAUAUGGAAGAACACCAGUGGCGAAAGCGGCUCUCUGGGCUGUAACUGACGCUGAGGUUCGAAAGCGUGGGUAGCAAACAGGAUUAGAUACCCUUGUAGUC